GAUUGGUGCUUGCAUCAUGAUUUACAUUUGAGUGAGUGGCGAACUGGUGAGUAACACGUGGGAAACCUGCCCAGAAGCGGGGGAUAACACCUGGAAACAGAUGCUAAUACCGCAUAACAACUUGGACCGCAUGGUCCGAGCUUGAAAGAUGGCUUCGGCUAUCACUUUUGGAUGGUCCCGCGGCGUAUUAGCUAGAUGGUGGGGUAACGGCUCACCAUGGCAAUGAUACGUAGCCGACCUGAGAGGGUAAUCGGCCACAUUGGGACUGAGACACGGCCCAAACUCCUACGGGAGGCAGCAGUAGGGAAUCUUCCACAAUGGACGAAAGUCUGAUGGAGCAACGCCGCGUGAGUGAAGAAGGGUUUCGGCUCGUAAAACUCUGUUGUUAAAGAAGAACAUAUCUGAGAGUAACUGUUCAGGUAUUGACGGUAUUUAACCAGAAAGCCACGGCUAACUACGUGCCAGCAGCCGCGGUAAUACGUAGGUGGCAAGCGUUGUCCGGAUUUAUUGGGCGUAAAGCGAGCGCAGGCGGUUUUUUAAGUCUGAUGUGAAAGCCUUCGGCUCAACCGAAGAAGUGCAUCGGAAACUGGGAAACUUGAGUGCAGAAGAGGACAGUGGAACUCCAUGUGUAGCGGUGAAAUGCGUAGAUAUAUGGAAGAACACCAGUGGCGAAGGCGGCUGUCUGGUCUGUAACUGACGCUGAGGCUCGAAAGUAUGGGUAGCAAACAGGAUUAGAUACCCUGGUAGUCCAUACCGUAAACGAUGAAUGCUAAGUGUUGGAGGGUUUCCGCCCUUCAGUGCUGCAGCUAACGCAUUAAGCAUUCCGCCUGGGGAGUACGGCCGCAAGGCUGAAACUCAAAGGAAUUGACGGGGGCCCGCACAAGCGGUGGAGCAUGUGGUUUAAUUCGAAGCUACGCGAAGAACCUUACCAGGUCUUGACAUACUAUGCAAAUCUAAGAGAUUAGACGUUCCCUUCGGGGACAUGGAUACAGGUGGUGCAUGGUUGUCGUCAGCUCGUGUCGUGAGAUGUUGGGUUAAGUCCCGCAACGAGCGCAACCCUUAUUAUCAGUUGCCAGCAUUAAGUUGGGCACUCUGGUGAGACUGCCGGUGACAAACCGGAGGAAGGUGGGGAUGACGUCAAAUCAUCAUGCCCCUUAUGACCUGGGCUACACACGUGCUACAAUGGAUGGUACAACGAGUUGCGAACUCGCGAGAGUAAGCUAAUCUCUUAAAGCCAUUCUCAGUUCGGAUUGUAGGCUGCAACUCGCCUACAUGAAGUCGGAAUCGCUAGUAAUCGCGGAUCAGCAUGCCGCGGUGAAUACGUUCCCGGGCCUUGUACACACCGCCCGUCACACCAUGAGAGUUUGUAACACCCAAAGUCGGUGGGGUAACCUU
rnacentral:rRNA from 1 species